AAAGGCUUUGCAUCGGAAUAAAGACACGUUAAAUGCAAUUAAAUAUGAUUUUGAAUGCAGGGGACAAAUUCAGCUGUAUGAGCUUAGAAGCAAGACAAUCUAAGACAUAGUUUGGAUGUUUCAGUUUUAGUGUGUCAUAUGUGGCACCAAAGCCUAGAGAUCCUCAAAAAAUUCCACAAAUCUUGAUCGUUGAAUGAACUCCCAAUGGUUCUCAAACAGUUACACGUGCAGCCUAUCACUCCUUUUCUCAUUUAAUUUGAUUUAUUUUCUUUCUCAUGCAUGGAAUUCUCCUCCAACUACUACACCCAACACAAGAUAAACCAUAAAACCAAAGAGCAAAAUCACAGUGUAGAUUGAUUAGCUCUUGUAUUACUAUGAAUAACUAUGGUUGAAGCCACUGCUAAUGACAACUACCAUCGAAUUUGAUCUCUUUUUAUUUUUAUUUGUCACUACAUAUACCCAUUAAAUUUUGAGCAUUCUAUAGGGAAACGGAAAUUAAGGGGUCUCUCCCCUUUUUGUGGGUUGGAUCUUGUACUUAUGGAACUGUCACAUCUGACCAUUUUGAUUCUCUUCUGAUCAUCAUCAUCACCACCUGGUUAAAAAGCAAGCAACUUGGUGAUCUGAAUUUUGUCCCUUUCUCUUCUCUGUUCUCUCCUUCUUUCACCGUUUUAGGUGGGGCUGGAAACCUGAUCAUCAUGGAUUGAAUGCUAUCUUGUCCUUGCAGAUUUGAGGUUUGUGACAUAGUUUGUUGGGUAUAUCUGGUUUCUGCGUCAGAUUCACGUCACGUCAGUCCAUGGAGGAGAGGAAGUAUGUGUGCAAGUAUUGCAGCAAGAGGUUUCCUUGUGGGAAGUCUCUGGGGGGUCACAUCAGAACCCAUAUGACUGAAGAAAGAAGUAAUGCUGAUGCUGACAUCUUCAUCAAGUCGGAUGGUUUCAAGAAGAAGAGAGAUUUAUGGUGCGAAGAUGUUGUCGGGAACCCCAUUUAUGGCCUCAGAGAGAACCCCAAGAAAACAAUGAGGUUUGUGCAUUCUGGCGCUCGUCGUGGUUGUGCUAGUGGUGUUGCCGGUGCCAACUAUGAAAAGGAGGAGAGGUUCUGCAAAGAAUGCGGGAAAGGUUUCCCAUCGCUGAAGGCUCUUUGUGGUCACAUGGCUAGUCACUCUGAUAAAGAGAAGAGAACCAUCAAGUUUGAAGACAGUGACAAGAAACUGAAAUUGGUUAUGGACAGUCAAUCUGACACCGAGACCUGUUCUCCCUCUCAUCCAAGGAGAUCCAAGAGAAUGAGGGUCAAGACCAUUAACCUUUCCAAUCACCCUUUUUCUUCCUCUUCUCCUUCUUCUUCUUCUGUUCCGUUGCCCAAUGGCUCUUCACCCGUUUCAGAAGUGGAGCAGGAGCAAGAAGAGGUUGCUAGGUGCUUGAUGCUGCUGUCUAGAGAUUCUACCUUCAAGGGUCGUUUUGCUUCUGUCACCGAAUGUUCUGAUAACAACUCAGUUGUUCUAGAAGCAAAAUCCUCCUCUCCUGAUACUCGGUUUGGUGUCAGCAAUGGUAACUAUAACUUUGUCUCUAAUAAUGCUUAUGAUCUUGCUCACAACAAGUUGCUUAGGGUUAAUGAUAUCAAGUUAAAGUCUGUUGAGUUUGGUGCUUCUGAUAAUUCAGGUUCUAGAUAUUUCAAACACGGUCCCAAAACCAAAGUGGUUGACUCAGAUGUCUCCAAUGAUGAAUUUAAGUGGCCCAAAGUGGGAGAUAAGUCAAGCAAAUACACUGCAACUUUGGUAAAGAAGGAGGAUUUGGAUUAUGAUGGAACAGAUGGAACUGCAAGGAAGUUUGAUUCAAGAAAGAGAAGCAACUAUGAUUCUCUUGAUAACAAGAAGAUAGCAAAUGGUUUUGGUAAUGAAGUAUAUGGGAAUAGCACAAAAGGUUGGAAGUACGAGUCUUUGGAGGGUGAAAGGGACUAUGAUUCUUAUGAUUAUUCCAUUGAGGAGAGCCAUGAAAACAGUUCAGAGACAGAAUCUUAUCCUGCUCCCAGGUCUCAUAACAGUAAGGCCCUCAAUGGGAAGAAGUCCACCAGCAAGGCCAAGAAGAAGUUGAAAUCUAAGAAAAGCAGGGAUCAUGAGUGUCCAAUCUGCUACAAAAUUUUCAGGUCAGGCCAAGCCUUGGGAGGACACAAAAGAUCCCAUUUCAUUGGUGGUUCUGAAGAAAACACUCUGGUGAUCAAACAAGCUGCUCCUGUUGUUCCAUGCCUGAUUGAUCUAAAUCUACCUGCUCCUGUUGACGAAUAAGGAAAUGGGCAUCCUGGGUUUUGCAUCAUUUUGAAGCAUCUGCUGUUGAGACUAGAAGAAUCAUGUGGAGCAAAAUAAAGACAAUGCAAAGGUUAAAGAUAAGUGUAACUUUAUUUGUUUUGUAAUUCCGUCCAAUUUUUUUUACCCACCAAAGCAUGUCUUACGACCAGAUUUAUCUCUUUUAGCACAGAAUUGCACUAUGGUAAAUCAAAUUCUAGCCAUAAGUGUAGUUUCUAACAGGUGAUUGCUUAGUCCUCGGACCAGAAAGUUAUAUUUUGAAUUUGAUCAAA